rnacentral:rRNA from 1 species
GGGUCAGUAGGUUGGUCGUGCCCACGGUACGUACUGGUCUCACUGAUUCCUCCUUCCUGAAGAACCGUAAUGCCAUUAAUUUGGUGUUGCGGGGAAACAGGACUGUUACUUUGAAAAAAUUAGAGUGUUUAAAGCAAGCUAACGCUUGAAUACAUUAGCAUGGAAUAAUGAAAUAGGACGAUCGAUCCUAUUUUGUUGGUUUCUAGGAUUGACGUA